UACGUAGGGUGCAAGCGUUAAUCGGAAUCACUGGGCGUAAAGCGUGCGCAGGCGGUUGUGCAAGACAGAUGUGAAAUCCCCGGGCUUAACCUGGGAAUUGCAUUUGUGACUGCACGGCUAGAGUGUGUCAGAGGGGGGUAGAAUUCCACGUGUAGCAGUGAAAUGCGUAGAUAUGUGGAGGAAUACCGAUGGCGAAGGCAGCCCCCUGGGAUAACACUGACGCUCAUGCACGAAAGCGUGGGGAGCAAACAGG
rnacentral:rRNA from 1 species